rfam:Ailuropoda melanoleuca scaffold1029_2, whole genome shotgun sequence.
ACCUGGCUGGCUCAGCUGGUAGAGCAUGUGACUCUUGAUCUCAGAAUCAUGAGUUUGAGCCCCAUGUUGGGUG